ACGAAAUAGAGUGAUGAAACGAUCUAGAGUUGUAUUUUAAUAUACUGUAAGUAGAUCUAGUUUUAUAAUCAGAAGAUGGACUGUUUUUAUCAUCAGGGAGUUUAAUUAAACACUCUGUAUUGACUUUGAGUCAAGAAAAGAGAGAGAGUUGGGAUCGUUUAAGAAUUUUUAAUUUCUUAAUUAUAAAUUCUAAACAAUCUACCAGGACUAACUCUGUGAUGGAUGAAAAUGGAUUUGGAUGUUGUGUUGGUGCGUGUGUGUGUGUGUUGUUCAGGAUCUUUAGGCUGACGGAGCGUAUCUGGUUGUUAUGACUACGGACCACGAGGCUUCGGAAGCUGAUGACAUGAGCAGCUAUUUUGCCGUGUACGUACCCUGUGGAGUCUCCCAGGUAGAUCAGGAAAUGCCAGGUCCUAGGACCUCGGAUGUGUACUGGAGCUGGUUGAAGCAGCGAUCACAGCACGUCAAAGCCCGUCUGAAGGGUCGACACCGGUACCAUCGGCAGCGUCAGCUAGUGGUGCUCUUAUUUUGAAGGGACGUCGUCUUGUUGGUAAACAACGGAAAUCUCCAGUAGCUUCACAGUUCUCAGUUAAAGAAGAAAGCACAUCUGGCCAGGCUGUACUUCUCUUUUGAUGACGGUGGAACCCCGUAGGACUUCCAACUGAACAGAACUGAAGUCAAAAUGGAACUGAGCUUACAAUGGCGUUGCCUUGUUUUAUAUCUCUGAAUUGUUGAUAAGUUUUAGUAAAGCGGAUUGGACACUUUAAGUCAACAAGCCAGAUUCUCUUGCGGCAGCCGAAAGCUCUGAUUGGUUGGAACAAUGUGUCAUGCGUUUCUAUGGAGAUGAGGGUCAGUCUGUCUGUGCAGUAGUCCUGUUUUCAUUAAAGAGCAAGUAACGUCUAAAUUAACUUUUUUUUUGCUGAUGAACUGUAUAAAUGAGUGUCUAAUAGUGUUUUAAAUGUGUGCAUUCUUUAUUUUAGCAUUUUGGUGCAUUUUCUUUAAAAAUAAAAAAUUCUGUCUAAAAACCACAGUAAUGCACCACCUUCAGCUGAAAACAUAGAAUUUGAGUCAUUUUGAAUAAAUUUUAGCCAAUGGCUAAAGAGUAAAGUACUACGUAAACCAGUAGAGUACUACGUAGCAGCUCCGUGCCAAAGUUAUAAACGCAACGAGCGUCUCGGCCACGCCCUGUGGCGAGUGGGAGUUGGAUUUGCAAGCGAGCGUAGGAGGUCAGCGGUAUUUCAGCAUUAGCAUAUAGCAUUAGCAUAUCCUAGUCUUUAGCAUAUCUUUUAGUGUUAUAAAUACUUAUUCAGUGUUAGCUUGGCUGUUGGAUAUUGUAGUUUAGUUAGUGUUUGGCUGUUAGUGUAAUUGGGAAAGUAUUUUGGUUUUAGUGUUCCAUAUCGUCUUAGUAUUGGUGAGAUGGUGUAAUGUAGUAUGGUUGCGGUGACUCUGUGGGCAUUUUACCCGCGAUUCUGCACGCCUCCGUUUGAAGAGGGAGGCUGUGCCCACCGUGGUUCUUCCGCGAUUUAGAUGCAGCCCACCGACUCUGCUCCCCCACCACGGCGGGCUCCAGUCUGAGGUGAGUACGCUAAAUAAACGUUUUAACAUCUUCUAAAGACAAUUCCCUACCUAAAUGCAAAGUUUGAGAGAUGUGGUUCACUUCCUUUAGCUAGUCAGUCGGUGAUUCUGCAACAGUGUCUCUAACUGACGCAGCACUAGUUGACAGACAGCAUUACAGCGUGAAAUCCAGCUUGUGAACAGGUUCUGUGAGGAAUUCUGUUCAGGAGGUCGCAUUUCAGGCUCUCCACAUCAUGUGUGACUGACUUUUACGUUAUAACAACGAUCACACACUAGGAAUGUUAUAAAGCGCCUAUAUAGGAGAUUAUUUUGUAUAUUAUCUGACUUUAUAAACUCCCAACAACAAUGUGCUUCUAUUUUUUUUUUCAGGCUAAAUCUACCCAAGACACUGGCUGUCAGACUGAUUUAGCUGCAAGAAUGCACUUGUCCAGCCUGACGUGAAGCCUUACCCGUAGCAAAGGUGAAUUAUUUUUAAUAAUCUUCUAUGUAAACAUUUUAUUAUCACCUUCUAGUUUUAAUUAGUUUUACAGAUUAUUGUUACACGUGAUUUUAUGCUCUUUUAAACAUUUAUAAAUGUGCAGCCAGAAUGGAGUUCACAGCCGCAGUGUGUCUGGUGACCCACGGGGACCAUGAUGAAAAUUCAUCUUCCAGAAGGUCCCAGAGCAGCGUCCACACCCCUGAAAAGACCAUGAUGUGAGGUGUCUGCUGUUGAUUCCAGCUUCCACCUCAGUGACAGUGCAAGCUCAGUGAACUGAAGGUAAAAAAAAAUUAAAACAUUUCAGAAUUUUUAAGAUAUUAACAAUUAAAUAAGUAUGUGAUUACAUCAUGACGGAGGCUACUGAUUCUGCCCCUGUGACACUUGGUGGUGACGUGUGAGCUGAUUCACCUGGAAAAUAACUUUUACAUUAAAUAUUUUGUUUUUGCUAUCAAAAGUAAAUUAACUAAUAACCUGCAUUAUUGCAGGACACUCAGCAAAAUAUGGACUCUACACCAUGAGGCAUGCACACAUUAAUAUUCUAUAAGAGCACAUAAGCCUGGCUGAUCACCUGAUAACUCCUGUCAUCUGGUUAUGACAGCAUGAGGAUGUCCUCACACACCUGUAACCUACCAGCUCAUCUGGCAGAAUAGAGAGAGAAGAGACAACACCACAUCUCCUGUUCCUGGAAAGCCUUCAGCCAUCCUUCGAUGACUGAGAACCUCCAUCAGCUCUGUCUCCUGUCUGCCUACAAUUAUUAUAAUAAAUAUUGUGUUUGACAAGU